rfam:Dendroctonus ponderosae Seq01023788, whole genome shotgun sequence.
UCAAAGACUUUUCUAAAAGUCAUAAAUUAAUUGAUUAAUUUGGAUG